GACGAACGCUGGCGGCGUGCUUAACACAUGCAAGUCGAACGGAAAGGCACUGCUUUUGUGCGGUGCUCGAUUGGCAGACGCGUGAGUAACACGUGAGUAACCUGCCCUUGACUUUGGGAUAACUUCAGGAAAGUAGGGCUAAUACCGGAUAGCAGCUGCUGCUGCAUGGAAAGGGUUGGAACGUUUCGGCGGGUGGGGAUGGACUCGCGGCUUAUCAGCUUGUUAGUGGGGUAGUGGCUUACCAAGGCUUUCACGGGUAGCCGGCCUGAGAGGGUGACCGGCCACAUUGGGACUGAGAGACGGCCCAGACUCCUACGGGAGGCAGCAGUGGGGAAUAUUGCACAAUGGGCGGAAGCCUGAUGCAGCAACGCCGCGUGCGGGAUGACGGCCUUCGGGUUGUAAACCGCUUUCGCCUGUGACGAAGCGUGAGUGACGGUAAUGGGUAAAGAAGCACCGGCUAACUACGUG
rnacentral:rRNA from 1 species